rnacentral:tRNA from 1 species
GGGACCGACGCAUUGACGGCGGUGCGACCGGUUGAAGCCCGGUGGGGCGGGGUUCGCCCCCCGCGGUCCCGC